rnacentral:tRNA from 1 species
GCAGGGAUGGCAGAGUGGUCUAAUGCGCGGGCCUUGAGAGCCCGUUCCCCUCGGGGAGCAGGGGUUCGAAUCCCUUUCCCUGCG